GUUUUAAUAGUUUAAAAAAAACAAUGAUCUUGUAAAUCAUAAAUAGAGUAAAUCUUUAAAACU
rnacentral:tRNA from 1 species